ACAGAAUGGCAGGGGUCUCUAUAGGACUCCAGAGUCUCUAUGAGGCUCUAUGGGGCGCUAUGGGGCUCUAUGGGGCUCUAUGGCACUCUGUACAGCUCUAUGGGGUGCUAUGGGGCUCUAUGGGGCACUAUAGAUCUCUAUGGGGCGCUAUGGCGCUCUGUGGGGCUCUAUAGGUCUCUAUGGGGCUCUGUGGGGCUCUAUCCCAGCACCACAGAAUGGCAGGGGUCUCUAUAGGACUCCAGAGUNNNNNNNNNNNNNNNNNNNNNNNNNNNNNNNNNGUGCUAUGGGGCUCUAUAGGUCUCUAUGGGGCUCUAUACGGCUCUAUAGGACUCUAUGGGGCUCUGUGGGGCUCUAUAGCACUCUAUGGGGCUCUGUGGGGCUCUAUAGGACUCUAUGGGGCUCUUGGGGCUCUACAGGACUCUAUGGGGCCCUGUGGGGCUCUGUGGGGCUCUAUGGGUCUCUAUGGGGCUCUAUAGCUCUCUAUAGGUCUCUGUGGGGCUCUAUAGGACUCUAUGGGGCUCUGUGCAGCUCUAUGGGGCUCUAUACAACUCUAUGGGCUCCAUAGGUCUCUAUGGGACUCUGUAGGUCCCUAUAGGUCUCUAUGGGGCCCUGUGGGGCUCUGUGGCACUCUGUACAGCUCUAUGGGGUGCUAUGGGGCUCUGUAGGUCCCAAUAGGACUCUAUGGGACUCUGUGGGUCUCAAUCACAGCACCACAGAACGGCAGGGGUCUCUAUAGGACUCCAGAGUCUCUAUGAGGCUCUAUGGGGCGCUAUGGGGCUCUAUAGGUCUCUAUGGGGCUCUGUGGGGCUCUAUGGGGCUCUGUGGGGCUCUAUGGCACUCUGUACAGCUCUAUGGGGUGCUAUGGGGCUCUAUAGGUCUCUAUGGGGCUCUAUAGGUCUCUAUGGAGAUCUAUACGGCUCUAUAGGACUCUGUGGGGCUCUGUGGGGCUCUGUGUAGCUCUAUGGUGCUCUAUACGACUCUAUGGGCUCCGUAGGUCUCUAUGGGACUCUGUAGGUCCCUAUAGGACUCUAUGGGGCACUGUGGGGCUCUAUGGCACUCUGCACAGCUCUAUGGGGUGCUAUGGGGCUCUGUAGGUCCCUAUAGGUCUCUAUGGGGCUCUAUGGGGCUCUAUCCCAGCACCACAGAAUGGCAGGGGUCUCUAUAGGACUCCAGAGUCUCUAUGUGGCUCUCUGUGGGGCUCUAUAGGACUCUAUGGGGCUCUGUGGGGCUCUAUGGGUUCUACAGCACUCUGUGGGGCUCUGUGGGCUCUAUAGGGCUCUAUGGGGCUCUGUGGGGCUCUAUAUAUCCCUAUAUGUCUCUGUGGGCUCUAUAGGGCUCUAUGGGGCUCUGUGGGCUCUAUGGGUCUCAGUCUCCUUUUCCCAAUCUAAACAGCCGCAGUUCGCUCAGCCUUCCUCCAUAGGGGCGAUGCUCCCGGCCCCUCCCCAUCCUUACGGCCCCCCGCUGGACCCUUCCCAAGAGACCCCUGUCCUUUUUUUCCACCAGGACCCCCAGCUCUGCAGAGCUCAGCCCCAACCCAGAGCACUGCACGCAGUUAUUCCUCCCGA
rnacentral:lncRNA from 1 species